CAAGUCUGUGGAAGAGACCUUAAAGAGUGUUUGCAACAAUGGUACAUGACACAUUAGGUAGAUAGACUCCAGAACCAGGUUCUAGAAAGCUUCUUGUUUCUAAAGCAAUGACUCCCACCUCCUAGAUAACUAUUCAUUUUACCUUUCUCUCAAACCUACAGUUCAAUAAAGUGUCAUUGUUGGAAGGCUUACCCAGAGACGUUUAAGAGAGCCCAGGAAAAUAACACUGUUGACAAAAUGGAAAGAACUGAUUACUCUCUC
rnacentral:lncRNA from 1 species